rnacentral:rRNA from 1 species
CCUACGGGAGGCUGCAGUGGGGAAUAUUGGGCAAUGGAGGCAACUCUGACCCAGCAACGCCGCGUGAAUGAUGAAGGUCUUCGGAUUGUAAAGUUCUUUUCUAAGGGAAGAAGAAAGUGACGGUACCUUAGGAAUAAGCCUCGGCUAACUACGUGCCAGCAGCCGCGGUAAUACGUAGGAGGCAAGCGUUAUCCGGAAUGACUGGGCGUAAAGGGUGCGUAGGUGGUCUGACAAGUUAGUAGCGCAACUCCGGAGCUCAACUUUGGAACUACUACUAAAACUGUAGGACUAGAGUGCAGGAGAGGCAAUCGGAAUUAGUAGAGUAGCGGUGGAAUGCGUAGAUAUUAGGAAGAACACCAGUGGCGAAGGCAGAUUGCUAGACUGAGACUGACGCUGAGGCACGAGAGCGUGGGGAGCGAACAGGAUUAGAUACCCCUGUAGUC